AAAAUGCGAUACGUAAUGUGAAUUGCAGAUUUCAGUGAAUCAUCAAAUCUUUGAACGCAAUUGGCGCUUAGAGCCAAUUACUCUAAGCACGUUUGUUCGAGUGUCGGUUAAUAUCUUACUAUUAACCACUAUUAUUUGAGUUUCAAUUACAUUUAUAAUGUAAUCGUUACUUUAAAAAGAAUUAUAUUGAAUCAUUAUUCAACAUUCUACUCUAUUGUAGUAAAUACUCAACAGAGUUUGACCAGAAUAAUUUCACUACACCUUUCUUUUACUCGACCUCGAAUCAAACGAGAUUACCGGCUGAACUUAAGC
rnacentral:misc_RNA from 1 species